rnacentral:rRNA from 1 species
UCCAGACUCCUACGGGAGGCAGCAGUGGGGAAUAUUGCACAAUGGGGGAAACCCUGAUGCAGCGACGCCGCGUGAGUGAAGAAGUAUUUCGGUAUGUAAAGCUCUAUCAGCAGGGAAGAAAAAAGACGGUACCUGACUAAGAAGCCCCGGCUAACUACGUGCCAGCAGCCGCGGUAAUACGUAGGGGGCAAGCGUUAUCCGGAUUUACUGGGUGUAAAGGGAGCGUAGACGGCAAUACAAGUCGGAAGUGAAAUACCCGGGCUUAACCUGGGAACUGCUUUGGAAACUGUAUGGCUGGAGUGCUGGAGAGGUAAGCGGAAUUCCUAGUGUAGCGGUGAAAUGCGUAGAUAUUAGGAGGAACACCAGUGGCGAAGGCGGCUUACUGGACAGUAACUGACGUUGAGGCUCGAAAGCGUGGGGAGCAAACAGGAUUAGAUACCCCAGUACC